rnacentral:rRNA from 1 species
GAUCCUGGCUCAGGAUGAACGCUAGCUACAGGCUUAACACAUGCAAGUCGAGGGGAAACGACAUCGAAAGCUUGCUUUUGAUGGGCGUCGACCGGCGCACGGGUGAGUAACGCGUAUCCAACCUGCCCAUCACUUGGGAAUAACCUUGGCGAAAGUAAGACUAAAUGCCCAAUGAUAUCCCACGAAGGCAUCCGAAUGGGAUUAAAGAUUUAUCGGUGAUGGAUGGGGAUGCGU